ACGCUCGACACCUACGGGGGGCAGCAGUGGGGAAUAUUGCACAAUGGGGGAAACCCGUACGAUGCAGCGACGCCGCGUGAAGGAAGAAGUAUCUCGGUAUGUAAACUUCUAUCAGCAGGGAAGAAAGUGACGGUACCUGACUAAGAAGCCCCGGCUAACUACGUGCCGCAGCCGCGGUAAUCUGAGCGGGCUGGCAAGGC
rnacentral:rRNA from 1 species